CCGCCCCUCGCUCAGCCCCUGGGCGGCAGGGCCCAAUCCACGCGCGCUCUCUGGCCCCGCGGGGCCCUGAAAGCCGGGACACGCGGAGGUCCGCAGGGUCCUCGGCGUUCACAGCAGCCUCCCACACCAAGCGCACCACCCGGAGCCCCUCUGCACGAGCGCUGCUUAUUGCUCUUUUCCCCAGCAGCCAGAGUCGUCACGGUAGCGCGGGAAGGGGCCUCGCAGGCCGGUCUGCAGCAGGUGCUGCCGGGAGCCGCAGGCCGCGCGGAUUCCUGUGGAGCUGUAUUUACUUUACAUCCAUGUGAACUGCUGUCAUCACUACUGUGUCCAAGCCCAGAGGAUGAACUGGAAAAGAAGAGAGGGGGAAAAUAAUAAAAAGAGGAAAUUGGUUUUCACAACACACUCAAAGCCUGAGUAACAGAGGAGAACUUUAAUUAUCUCCAGUCACAAAGAGAGACAGGAAAUUUGGACUUUUAAUUAGCCAUUUGGAGUGCAGUUGGGUAUUUUUUUAGCUAGAUAAUUUAAACGCGAAUAAUUCAAGUCUGACUAAAUGAAAGUCACAUAAUCAGAAUGCAAAUAAUUGAAUUUCUACUGCAUUCAUUAAUUCAGUGUGGAGGUGUAUGUGAAGACUACUAUGAUGAGCUGUCACAGCUCAAUAAAAUCUCAGUCAAUUAAUUUUUUCAUUAUCUUAGUAUUACAUCAACAAAAAAGGGAAGUGUGUACAUAUAUCUAUACACAUGCAUAUGUGUACUAUGUAUUAUAUAAAUACAUAUACAUUAAAUCAAAAUGCAAGGAAAUACCUUUCUGAAUCAUAAUCUAUAUCAUUUUCUUUUUUUCCUUCUUCAUCUUCUUCAGGGAAACGUCUGUUCAUCAAGGCAAACUUGUGAAUUGCUUCUUCCACAGAGUAUUUAGUCUGCCCCGAAACACACGCCUCAAUGUCUUCUGAAUUCAGAUGGCUCUGUAAGAAGAGGUGAAGGCUGCUAUCUGAAAGCAAAAGUGCAUUCUGUAGGACUCUAUAUAUAAAAAAAAAAGGAAGAAUAAUUGGUGAACAGGAUGGUCAAUGAUAGGGCAGAAGAAAGAAAAAUCAUUAGAAAGAUUAAGAGAAGAGUUAUAGAGCAACAGCCAUUAAUAUGAGCAUGGAUCAUGAAGUCUGUGAAGUCUGAGGAGUGUUUCCUGUGGCUGCUGUCAGCGGUUUCCUGCCUGCCCUAAGUACAAGGAACUGUUCCUAGGAUUGUACUCAUUGCUUUGUUUCUAUUGGAAAUGUGUUUUAUUUUCUUUAUAAAAUUAUGGGUAAUCUUUAAAAUUGAUUUUAGAUGGUUUGAGGCAUUACACCACAAAAGUAAUGAGCACUAAUGCCAAUGAUAUUGGACACAAAUUCAUUUUAGCUUUAUUUCAUGUCUGAAGCAAUUCUACUGAGCCUUGAACCGCUCACGUACUGUUAUUAACUUGCUAGUAACUUAACACAUGGGUACAGCAAACAAAAGUGAUCAGAGUCCAGGUUUAUCGGGACCUCAAGGCUACUGUCCUUUUUCUUGAGCUAUAAUUCAAUUUCCAAUUUUACUGUACAUUAGACUCAUUAUUUCCAAGUUUUCUUUUCUGCUCAAUACUGCCAUCUGGAGGACACACAGAUGAAAAGAGAAAGGGCCAGGUCCACCCAGCUCACAAUUUGGAAAGAGGGAGAAAGAUGUGGCUGGGGAAGGAACAUCUGAAGCCCCCUAGGCCUGCAGUUCAAACCAGUGAGUGGCCUAGGCACAGUUUUGGUUUUUGGAAUCCCCUCUGUUUCUCUGUCUAAAUUCAUGCCACCAUACACCAUGAAUAUGAGUUAUAAAUAAGCAAAAAUAAUUUUAAAUAUAUUUAUAUGCUUUUAAUUUUAUAGUCAGAUAGUUCAUUCUGAAAUUUAAAAUGAAAACAUUUGAGAGUGUUUUCCCAUCUGGUUAGGUGAGCAUAAUUAAUUUAUUUUGAAUACUGUUUGGCUUACUGUCAGAGAGGGCUAUGAUUGCCACCAUCAUACCAUUAAAUCCUAUUUUUUCUUAGUCAUGUUUGUGCCAUAUUUUCCACAAACAAAUCUAAUAGCAGAAAAUCAAUUUCAAACUUAAUAUAAAGAGUACUCUGUAAAACAGUCAACAAAACGUGAUUUGUAGAAACUUCCAUCCAUUUAAAAAGUACACGAUUUUCAAACCCUUAUAAAACGAAUAAAAAAUAGCCUAUAGGAUUCUAAAGGAAUUUCUAAAAAGAUAUUUAUAGUGCAGAUCAGAAGUUAUUCCUUUCCCCAUAACAAUUUCAGACUAAACAAAGCAAAAUCUGUUUUUUCCUUAAAUUGGAACCAGUUGAAAAUCAGUUUUCCUCAAUGUGAUUUUAUUAGAUGUACUGU